CUGCAGAGGAAGGAAGAGGAUGGUCUUAAGUUCUUUGCUUUGGUGUCCUCCUUUGGUGGCAUCAACCUUGACUUCCAGACAGAACUGUUCAUUAAUAAAUGAAAAAUAGUAUUAUUUGCAUCCUAAGUCUGAAGAGCACGGAGGAGAAGCUGCUUCAGGCAGCUCCUGCCAUUGUUUCCAUGGAGAACCCUACUGAUGUCAGCAUCAUCCCCUCCAGGAACACUGUCCAGUAAACCCUGCUGAACUUUGCUGCUGUCAGUAGGGCAACUCCAAUUGCUGGCUGCUUUGCAUCUGAGACCUUCACUAGAUGGAACAUCAGAGCCUUUGGGGACCUGUGUCUUCUAGUAGUGACUGACUCCAGGGCUGACCUCCAGUAAGUAACAGAGGUAUGUUACAUCAGCCUGUCUACCAUCACCCUGUGUAAUGCACAUUUGCCACUUUAGUAUCUGGACAUUGCCAUCCCAGGUAACAAGAAGCAAGCUCAUUUAGUGGGUGUAAUGUGCUGAGUAUUAGCUCAGGAUGUUUAGUGGAUGUGCUAUCUCCUGUGUGCACACAUGGGGGUAGGGGAGUCAUGUCUACUCUCUGCUUCUACUGGACCCUGAGGAGAAUGAAAUUUAAGGGCAACAUGCUCUUGAAACAUCUAUGACUACAAAAGAAUUUUAGGGCAAAUAGACUGAACCACCUCCCAAGUUCAAUGAUGUUCAGCCAAAGAUGACAGACUGGUCUGAAGGCGUGUAGGUCUCCUCUAUGCCAAUUCAA
rnacentral:lncRNA from 1 species